AUAGACGUAUUCCAAAAAAACUAGCAUCCCUUUUUGUUUCUCCAAUGGUUCAUUUACCAUUGGUAGAUCGAGAACACUGGGUAAAAAAUUGCAUGAACAAUAAUUGAAUGUUUCCACAGAGAUAGAAGCCAAGGAAGCAAAUACAGCUGCACAAGAUCCGCAAGAUUUAACAUUAACAUCUUCGAGUAAACGCUGUGAUAAUUGGAUCAAAAUCAUAUCCACAAACUCUGUGAACGAAGAUGAAAACCCUUCCUCUUUAUAAAAUUUACUAGCUAAAGUAUUGAGUGCACCAAGCGCCAAAUUUUGAAGUUCAGCAUCUGUCGAAUUUAGUAUUUCUUGCUUAAUAGAUUCCCAAAAGUCUUUAGCAGACCAUAAAUAAGCACCCACGCGCCAAGUUUUGCAAGCUUCUAUAUAAAUGUUUAAUGCAUCGAUUUUUAUGCGAACAGUUGAAGCCUUCAGCCUUUCAAAUAAAGCAGGAAGAAGUAAUUUUGAAAACGCGUCGUUAGCAACCAAGGUUUCUCUACAAAGGACGGUUAGCAAUAGUUCACAUGUCAUGAUGCCUUACCGGAGAGCUAUUUUAAGAUCGUCGCUAGUAAUAGCCAAAUUGGUGGCAUCAGGCGGAGCACGGAAAGUGAUCGGGAAAUAACAAUAAGUGAUAUCAAAGAAUUGCUACAUGUAAGUAAUUUCAUUAGGCGAUUAACAAUGAGAUCCAUACCUGUUCAAAUCCGUCAAUGGGGAAUGUAGAAAGUAUUUUUUUAAGCAUAGAAAAGACCAGCAUAAGAUUACGAGGGUCUUUCUCACCAGCAAAAGUUGAACAAAUUCCAGAGAAGAAAGCAUCGCGAGUUUGUGAAGAGAUGACUGAGAACUAAGUUAAUUGAUGACUCUCCAAAAAGAUCCUUACAGAAAAGAUAAUUAUCUAUAAUGGUUUCAAAUACUUUUAAAAUGUUUAAACGAGUUGCUUGAGCAUAUUUUGGCAUGUCAGUGGAACUGAAGAGAGCCUUACAAACAUCCACAAUCUUUUGAGCAGGGAAGUUUUGCAUGUUUAGAAGAGCUCCAAUACCUAACGCAUUCUCCUUCAUUGUAACUUCAUCAUCCAAACGACUCAAGUAAAACUGAAGAAGUACAGAUACAUGUUUCGCAGGAAGUCUAUCUUUAGGAAGCUCACCUAAAGUUUGUGACAGUAAUAAAACUGCUUUUGCUCUAACAGAGAUAUUGUUGUCAGUUAAAUACUCUCCAAUUGAAGUAACCAAAUCGACAAUCCCCAUUCUGUCAGUGACAAUUUCUUCGACAAUUCGAUCUACAACGUCGUUUGCCU